AAAUCAGUGAGUGGGCUGCCUAUCAAAAUCAUUUUGGGAAUGUGACUGUUUUGUACAAAGUGUUUGAAUGAUUUUAUACAACUUUUCUAAAAAAUGAAUGCCUUGGGAACAAGCUCUUGAGAAAUGGUUUAUGUUAUGACAUGUGGUUAUUAUGGAUUUCUAUGCGGCUGCAUUAUGUUGAUAUACAUAUAUGUUUGAAUAUAGUGUUGUGUAAUUAUAUUGACUCGGCUAUGUGCGAGU
rnacentral:lncRNA from 1 species